rnacentral:rRNA from 1 species
GGUAACACCUGGAAACAGAUGCUAAUACCGGAUAACAACAGAUGAUGCCUAUCAACUGUUUAAAAGAUGGUUCUGCUAUCACUCUUGGAUGGACCUGCGGUGCAUUAGCUAGUUGGUAGGGUAACGGCCUACCAAGGCGAUGAUGCAUAGCCGAGUUGAGAGACUGAUCGGCCACAUUGGGACUGAGACACGGCCCAAACUCCUACGGGAGGCAGCAGGC